GUAGGGUCCGAGCGUUGUCCGGAAUUAUUGGGCGUAAAGAGCUCGUAGGCGGUCUGUCGCGUCGGAUGUGAAAGCCCGGGGCUUAACCCCGGGUCUGCAUUCGAUACGGGCAGACUAGAGUGUGGUAGGGGAGAUCGGAAUUCCUGGUGUAGCGGUGAAAUGCGCAGAUAUCAGGAGGAACACCGGUGGCGAAGGCGGAUCCCUGGGCCAUUACUGACGCUGAGGAGCGAAAGCGUGGGGAGCGAACAGGAUUAGAUACCCUGGUAGUCCACGCCGUAAACGUUGGGAACUAGGUGUUGGCGACAUUCCACGUCGUCGGUGCCGCAGCUAACGCAUUAAGUUCCCCGCCUGGGGAGUACGGCCGCAAGGCUA
rnacentral:rRNA from 1 species